CAGCAGUGGGGAAUAUUGCACAAUGGGGGAAACCCUGAUGCAGCGACGCCGCGUGGAGGAAGAAGGUCUUCGGAUUGUAAACUCCUGUUGUUGAGGAAGAUAAUGACGGUACUCAACAAGGAAGUGACGGCUAACUACGUGCCAGCAGCCGCGGUAAAACGUAGGUCACAAGCGUUGUCCGGAAUUACUGGGUGUAAAGGGAGCGCAGGCGGGAAGACAAGUUGGAAGUGAAAUCUAUGGGCUCAACCCAUAAACUGCUUUCAAAACUGUUUUUCUUGAGUAGUGCAGAGGUAGGCGGAAUUCCCGGUGUAGCGGUGGAAUGCGUAGAUAUCGGGAGGAACACCAGUGGCGAAGGCGGCCUACUGGGCACCAACUGACGCUGAGGCUCGAAAGUGUGGGUAGCAAACAGGAUUAGAUACCCUGGUAGUCCACACCGUAAACGAUGAUUACUAGGUGUUGGAGGAUUGACCCCUUCAGUGCCGCAGUUAACACAAUAAGUAAUCCACCUGGGGAGUACGACCGCAAGGUUGAAACUCAAAGGAAUUGACGGGGGCCCGCACAAGCGGUGGAGCAUGUGGUUUAAUUCGAAGCAACGCGAAGAACCUUACCAAGUCUUGACAUCCCUCUGACCGGCUCUUAACCGAGUCUUUCCUUCGGGACAGAGGAGACAGGUGGUGCAUGGUUGUCGUCAGCUCGUGUCGUGAGAUGUUGGGUUAAGUCCCGCAACGAGCGCAACCCUUAUGGUCAGUUACUACGCAAGAGGACUCUGGCCAGACUGCCGUUGACAAAACGGAGGAAGGUGGGGAUGACGUCAAAUCAUCAUGCCCUUUAUGACUUGGGCUACACACGUACUACAAUGGCGUUAAACAAAGAGAAGCAAGACCGCGAGGUGGAGCAAAACUCAGAAACAACGUCCCAGUUCGGACUGCAGGCUGCAACUCGCCUGCACGAAGUCGGAAUUGCUAGUAAUCGUGGAUCAGCAUGCCACGGUGAAUACGUUCCCGGGCCUUGUACACACCGCCCGUCACACCAUGAGAGCCGGGGGGACCCGAAGUCGGUAGUCUAACCGCAAGGAGGACGCCGCCGAAGGUAAAACUGGUGAUUGGGGUGAAGUCGUAACAAGGUAGCCGUAGGAGAACCUGCGGCUG
rnacentral:rRNA from 1 species